rnacentral:antisense_RNA from 1 species
CACGGACAUCAGUGAUUCGUUUUGUGAACCCGCGCCGACGGCCAGAUAAGCAUUCAUUCCCAGCUCUUUCAUCUGCUGUUCGCCGAUGACGCGGGUGGUGAUGUUGCUACUGAAGGCAUCUGCCAACUGGCGCGCCUGAGAUGCCAGAUAACCGGCAUUGCAGAUGUUUGGCGGCAUGUUGCCCAGGUCUUUGGC